rnacentral:rRNA from 1 species
UGAGGAAUUUUGCGCAAUGGCCGCAAGGCUGACGCAGCAACGCCGCGUGGGUGAAGAAGGCCUUCGGGUCGUAAAGCCCUGUCAGGUGGGAAGAACGAUUCGGGGAGUAAUAUGCCCCGGAUGUGACGGUACCACCAGAGGAAGCACCGGCUAACUCCGUGCCAGCAGCCGCGGUAAUACGGAGGGUGCAAGCGUUGUUCGGAUUCACUGGGUAUAAAGGGUGCGUAGGCGGCCUUGUAAGUCAGAGGUGAAAGCUGCCGGCUUAACUGGCAAAUUGCCUUUGAGACUGCAAGGCUUGAGUCCGGGAGAGGAAGGCGGAAUUCCAGGUGUAGCGGUGAAAUGCGUAAAUAUCUGGAGGAACACCGGUGGCGAAGGCGGCCUUCUGGUCCGGUACUGACGCUGAGGCACGAAAGCCAGGGGAGCAAACG